rnacentral:rRNA from 1 species
AUAUCAUUAAGCGGAGGAGAAGAAAUUAACUAAGAUUGCCCUAGUAACGGCGAGUGAAGCGGCAAGAGCCCAAACUGGAAAUCUCGUACCUUCGGUACGCGAAUUGUAAUCUAAAGAGUGCUUACUCACCGGGAUGUGGCGCAGAAGUUCCCUCGAACGGGACGCCAGAGAGGGUGACAGCCCCGUAUGUGGUGCCAUAUCCUAACGAGUGGGUGCCCAACGAGUCGGGUUGUUUUGUACUACAGCCCUAAGUCGGAGAUAAACUUCUUCUAAGGCUAAAUAUAUAUGGGAGACCGAUAGCGCACAAGUA